UCUUAUCAAGAGCGGCGGAGGGACCUGCCCUGUGAAGCCCGACAACCUGCUGCGGCAAGGUGUCAAAUCAGCGGCCAUUUUUGGUGGCCGAAGAUGAG
rnacentral:ncRNA from 1 species